rnacentral:lncRNA from 1 species
CGCCUUGGAGUCUUUAAGAAUGGAAAGAGAUAUUAUGCUGCAAAUGAGGAAGUUGGGGGCUGCUGAGUUAUUCAACACCUGUCUAUCUAGGUCCCGAGCUUCGUCAACCGCUUCUUGCUUACCUGACACAGGAACACCUGAGUUGGUGGAUACUACAGAAGAACAGAAAACCUUUGUGCAUUCAACAAGGAAACUGAGAAAGAAAGCAAGACGGUCGAGUUUGAUGACUGGGAGUGAUGAUCUGGGUUCAAGAACCAUAUGGGAGGGUGUUGAUGUCCCUAGAGUGAGAAAACCAUCAAAAUAUAGAAAGAAAAGAGAGAGGAUAUCUAGAAACGAGGCUGAGAUGCCACAAGGAGUCAAGGUUCAGUGUGAAAUAUUCCUCUUAACUGUUUUUUUUUAUAAUCCUUUGUAGUUUAACAAGAAGUUCUUAUGACACUCUCAUGUGGCUAUUGAAGUUAGUGGCGGACAUGGAGAGGAUUAGAACGAAACUGGAAGAGGAAAGUGGUAAGGUAGCGAGUAUGAUUUGUUGGGCUGAAGCAGCAGGGAUGAACGAGAAACUUCUCAUGCGCAAUCUACAUUUCGGUUGGUACUGUCGAGAUGAACUGGUGAAAAGCACCCGGUCUUUGGUUCUUUUCCUCGCAAGAAACUAUCGUGGUCUCGGGAUCGCCCACGAAGAUUUGAUUCAGGUUCAUCUUCUCUCCUUUAGAACUGUAUGAGAGUCAAACCUUUGCACAUGAAACUUUGUGUUUACAGUUCCUUUGUUUCUAAUGUUCUUGAAUGUGGGUUUCAGGCAGGGUAUGUGGGAGUGUUGCAAGGAGCAGAGAGGUUUGAUCACACAAGGGGUUACAAGUUUUCGACGUAUGUGCAGUAUUGGAUAAGAAAAUCGAUGUCCACGAUGGUGUCACGGCAUGCAAGAGGCGUCCACAUUCCUGUUUGUGCAUUCUUGAUUAUUAAUUUUAUUUUUCAUUUCUAGAAAAGCCAAAGAACCUCACUUGUAUUCAUUCUGUGAUCGAUGUUGUUUAUUUUGGCAGGCGUCAAUAAUCCGAACAAUGAGUCAGAUACAAAAGGCUCGCAAGACCUUGAAAACGAGCCAGGGGAUAAAGUAUCCAGCUGAUGAGGAGAUUUCGAAACUAACAGGGUACUCGUUAAAGAAGAUUAGAGCAGCUAACCAAUGCCUGAAAGUGGUUGGUUCAAUCGACAAGAAAGUUGGGGAUUGCUUUACCACAAAGUUCCUGGUAUGUCCUUUUGAACCAACAUCCUCUCUCAUAAACUGUUAUAAAAAAUAUUUGGUUUUGUGUAGAUUUAAGCUAUUUUUGCAUGGUUUUGGUUUUGUGAGUCAAUGUUUGUUUGCUGUGUGUGUGUAUGCAGGAGUUUACACCAGACACGACGAUGGAGAGUCCAGAGGAGGCUGUGAUGAGGCAGAGCGCAAGGAGAGAGGUACAUAAUCUAAUAGAAGGGCUAGAGGCUAGAGAGAAGCAAGUGAUGGUUCUACGUUAUGGUCUUGAAGACUAUAGGCCCAAGUCCUUGGAAGAGAUUGGGAAGCUGCUUAGGGUUAGCAAAGAAGGGAUCCGGAAGAUAGAACGGAGAGCGAUGGCUAAAAUCAGAGACCAACCCAAAGCUGAUAACCUCAGAUAUUAUUUGAACCAGUGAGAAGGAUUAGAUUUUUGGAACCAAUGGCUUUGUGAUUUGUAAUAACAUUCUCAUCGAGUGUAAAGCUGUGUAUAUUUUAUAAUCAUAAAAGGUAGAGAUUUUACCCAAAGUGAAAAUAUAUCAAACAUUUACAAAUCUUGGAUUUUAUCCUGUAAAAGACAUUGAUUCCAAACUGAAUGUUACAUCUGAAUUGAAGGCAUAAAGCACUUGCACAAGCUUCAUGUCCUCCUCAUGGUCUAGAAAUGUGUAAAUGUGUAUAUCAGAAUACUAGUGAAACUAGGUUAAGAUCCGCGCCUUGCGCGGGAUAAACAUUAUAUAUAUAAAUUAUUUUAUAUAUUAUAUGUUUCUAACCUAUUAUGAAACAAUAAAUAUAUAUUGAAUAAUUAAAAAGUCAGUAACUAUUACCUAUAUAAUUAAGUUGGUGCGAACAUAUAAAUAAAUUUUAUUAAUCCCGUCUAUGUAGAGCUCAAAGAUCCAAAGGUCUGUUGUACUUCCCUGCAAAAACAUUUUUUUUUCCUUUCUUGUGAUUCUCAGUACUCGUUGCCAUGUCUUCAGGAAAAUAUUGGCGUGGGUUUAGUUGGAGAACGAAUGUCUUCUUCUUCUUCAGAGAAAGCCAAUUUAUCUCGUAGCAUGUUGCAGUACAAUCUACUAGGGAAGAACCUUUUAGCACUAGAGCAAACUUUUGUCGCCUUGGAGUCUUUAAGAAUGGAAAGAGAUAUUAUGCUGCAAAUGAGGAAGUUGGGGGCUGCUGAGUUAUUCAACACCUGUCUAUCUAGGUCCCGAGCUUCGUCAACCGCUUCUUGCUUACCUGACACAGGAACACCUGAGUUGGUGGAUACUACAGAAGAACAGAAAACCUUUGUGCAUUCAACAAGGAAACUGAGAAAGAAAGCAAGACGGUCGAGUUUGAUGACUGGGAGUGAUGAUCUGGGUUCAAGAACCAUAUGGGAGGGUGUUGAUGUCCCUAGAGUGAGAAAACCAUCAAAAUAUAGAA